rnacentral:rRNA from 1 species
UACGUAGGGUGCGAGCGUUAAUCGGAAUUACUGGGCGUAAAGCGUGCGUAGGCGGUUCGUUAAGUUCGUUGUGAAAGCCCCGGGCUCAACCUGGGAACUGCAAUGGAAACUGGCGGGCUUGAGUGUGGCAGAGGGGGGGUGGAAUUCCGCGUGUAGCAGUGAAAUGCGUAGAGAUGCGGAGGAACACCGAUGGCGAAGGCAGCCCCCUGGGCCAACACUGACGCUCAGGCACGAAAGCGUGGGGAGCAAACAGG